UACGUAGGGUGCGAGCGUUAAUCGGAAUUACUGGGCGUAAAGCGUGCGCAGGCGGUGAUGUAAGACAGAUGUGAAAUCCCCGGGCUCAACCUGGGAACUGCAUUUGUGGCUGCAUCGCUGGAGUGCGGCAGAGGGGGAUGGAAUUCCGCGUGUAGCAGUGAAAUGCGUAGAUAUGCGGAGGAACACCGAUGGCGAAGGCAAUCCCCUGGGCCUGCACUGACGCUCAUGCACGAAAGCGUGGGGAGCAAACAGG
rnacentral:rRNA from 1 species